ensembl:lncRNA
CAAUGGGACCCCAAAAUGACCCCAAUAGGACCCCAAUGUGUGACCCCCAAUGUGACCCCAAAGUGUGAGCUGAAGUGACCCCAAUGUGACCCAAAACUGACCCCAAACUGACCUCAGACUGUGACCCCGAUGGGACCCCAAAGUGUGAGCUGAAGUGACCCCAAUUUGACCCCAAUAGGACCCCAAUGUGUGAUCCCGAUGUGACCCCAAUGGGACCCCAAUGUGACCCCAAUGUGACCCCACUGUGACCCCCAAGAGGACCUCAAUGGGACCCCAAAAUGUGACCCUGAUGUGACCCAAAAUGGGACCCAAUGUCAGGACCCAAUGGGACCCCCAAGAGGACCUCAAUGUGACCCCAAAGUGUGACCCCCAAUUGGCCUCAAAUGACCCCAAAGUGUGACCUGAAGUGACCCCAAUGUGUGACCCCAAGUGACCUGAAGUGACCCCAAAGUGUGACCUGAAAUGACCCCAAGGUGA